rnacentral:tRNA from 1 species
GCCCCAGUAGCUCAACAUGGACAGAGCGAGGCUCUCCUAAAGCCUAGGUUGUGGGUUCAAUUCCCGCCUGGGGCA